CUUUGCUGGAGAGCAGCUUACACUUUCAGAGGUGUUCGGAUAGGAUUCCCUGCACUGAGCAAAGGACAACCCCGAGUUAUGAACAUCGCUGCUCCACCCACAUGGAUGUUACAUUUCUACUGCUAGAUUUCUAAAGCUAUUAUGUGUUUUAUACCAAUACCCAUCUUCCUUUCUAUCCACAAAGGCAGGAAUGACAGAAACAUGGAUCAAAGGGAAGUUUGAUGCUGGGGACCCAUGUGAGAAGCACGUACUCUUCAAGCUUUUGUUCUGACUGAUGGAAGUUUACAAAGAAAUGAUGGUUUUGGAGGAGGUUCCAUGUGUCAAAUUUGCUGCUGUCUUCAUGAUGCAGAACAAGAGAGCACCUGAAUACCAAAUUCUUUUAUAUGAAGUCAGGGAAGUUCACUCCAAAGCUGUAAGUGUCGAAGACUCUGCUGACACAGGACAUCAACCUCCCAGUGCCUGCUUUCAAGUCAGAGACAUGGAACAUGAGGCUUGGCAUCUGGUGGAAGUGCUGAUGCGGCUGAUCUGAACAGACCUCGUGGCCUCUGUGCUUCCAGCUGCCCCCUCAAAUCCCUCAGCUCCCUUUCCACCGUUGAAAGUGCUUGCGUAGCUAAACAGCUGAACCAGGAAUUGAUCCAGCAAACAGACCAACAAAAAAUAAAUGGUUAUUUUCCAAUCAACACAAUUGUAAAGGGAGAACUGUUCUCAACAGAAAAACAAAGACAUAUACCUAGAAAAUGGGACAGCUACAGAGCGACACAAAUUACAGUGCAGGCGAAGCUGCUUUGAUGCUACUACUUUGAUGCUAUUCUAAACGGGUGUGUUUAGAGUUACAUUUUUCUCCCAGUCAAAAAUGAGCUGCAUUUCAGAAGUGCCCUUGGAAAUGAGCCUGUACCACAGAGGGGGAGCAAAUCUCAGACAGCUGAGACAUUGAAUGGUAUAUAAGCGCAUUUUAUUCAUAAUGGGAUCUCAUUUAGGGGGUCAUUUGAGUGGAGCUUGAGGAGCAUCAUUACAUUCUUUUCUCUAUCAGCCAGACUCCCCAGACAGGAAAAUGUAAGUUUCACUCCCAGCUUUCUUGCAGACUUGCAUGUAACUUGAAUAAGUUAGUUAACAUUUCUUUCCAAUCAACAGUUUACUGGAGCAAUGGAUGUGUGAUAAUUAAAACAAAACAAAAGAAUAAGACAACUUCUAGGGGGCAAUCCAUUGCAUGCAGCUCAGACACACAUUAGUGUCUUCUACUUGGUCAACUCAAGUCCAAAGUUUUAUUGGCUCUGGAUCAGCGUUGGUUCUGCUGGGUUUGGCUACCAGCCUAAUCACCCAAAUGGCUCCAUGCUUUUAGCUGCUUGGAAAUCAAAUCCUGUAUGCAUCAUGCAUGUCUGUCCCAUCUAAGUCAAUAAAAACUCUGAAUCUCGGGCAUGAGGAGCACAGUGCAGAGAUCUUCAGGUGACCCAGCAGGGGCAUUCUAAAGCAUGGAGGACCAGCAGGGGCAACAGCUAUUAAGGCUGCUGACCUCAACAGUUGAGCCCAACUGCAACAGGAUUCCUCAGUGCGUACAGCACUAAGUUAAAAUGUCCCGCUAGAAGCGAGCUAGACCCCCAGGAGACCAGUCGGGGUGCACCUAUGUCAGGUCUACCCGCCCACCGGGCUAACCCCGCCUGCACCAGGGAGGCUCUGUGCCGUAGGAGAUGGCACGAGAUGGCGCUCUCUGAUGGAGUCUUUAAAGAGCGCUCUUGCAGGCAGAGCGUGGUUUGGUUUGUUUAAGGGCUUUUGGGUAGAGAUUCGUUGGAGCCCCUGGAGCGCCUGCUCAGCUGUUUGAGGUGCGCGUUGCUUGGCAGCCAGCGCUGCCCUGCUCAGCUGCUGCUCCGGGUCUGCUUGCAGGACUUGGUUGCCUGCUGUAGUGAGACACGGUGUGUUUAUGUGUUUAAGAAAACACACACACUGAGUUUUCUGCACUGAAAAAGGUCGUCCCACGUGUCCGCCAUCUCUUGGUUCGGGGGCUGCAAUAACAUUUUAAGAAGAGUUGACAACAUUUAUGCAGCUUCAGGAUGUUAAGAGCUCCAGUGAAGUCAGUGUGUGAUCUGUUGGCAAUUAUAAGCUCAUCUAAGCCAACGGGUGUAAAAAAAUGUGUAGCCUAACUGAAGAGAGAAACCAAAUUCGUCUUUUUAUUAUGAUUGCUGGAGAAGUCAGUGCCCAGGAUGGAUCAAACUUACCCUGGGAACCAUUAAAGCCUUGUCUAUAUCCCAGUGCUGUUGCAGAUCAAAUCAAAUUAUUUUACAUUAAAAGGGCUCUCGGAAUCCCAAAUAAAAAUAUUUUGUUGGAAAUUACCUGCUGUCCAAAAACGAGUUAUUGAAACCACUUUGAAAAUCAUUUUACUAAGCUGCCAAAUGAAUUAGCCAUCUGAAGACAGCAGUACAGAUUUAUCCCCAUCCCACAGCAAGUGCUGUGAGUGCACCGGCUCCCCCCUCCACUGCCCCAGAGGGAACUCAAACAUCCAAGCACUCUGCGAGACCCCUCCCAGGCCCGGUGUUCCUUCCUGGGCUCCCGGCCAUUCACCCUCACUUUCACGGCUCCAAACGAGCUGCUGGACUUUGCUGACCUUGCAGGAAGGCAGAUGUUCUCUCCUCUCCACCUUGACUUGGACACACCAUCAGGGUGGCCCAGACCAGGGCAGUUUCAGUGCUGCAAACACAAGAUGGACUCUGGCGAUCACGUGAGAUAUCAUUCAAUUGUGCAGACAGACGAGGCUCUCUGCUCUCACUGUGAUGCAUUUCAGACUAUUUUUUUUCUGAAAUGUGUUGACAUUUCACUACUGUGAGUUUCUGUGGGACAACCAAUAAAGCACACGGACUGACAGCAGUUGCUUUUGUGUGUACAAAACGCACAGCCAAGGGAUGAGUAACAGUCCCUGGAAACAGCUUCUCCUCAGCCUGUUAGUCACUGGAAAGGCAGGCUCAGCCAUCCCCACAUAGAAACCACCUGCUGUUACUGGUUUCUUGUCUGGUAUGAUCACGGAAACAGGAUUUUACUUAAAAUAAAUAAAUAAAGAAAAUAUUGUUCCAAAUAAUAACAAGCCAUUUAUGUUGCAAACUUCUGCAACAACCAGAGGAGCUAAUAGCUGAGGUAAGAGAGUGUCUGGAAUGAUGUACAUAGGUAGGUCUGAAAAUAAUGCCUCCUAUUUAUUUCCAUGGAAACUACAACGGAUAC